GCGCUGGUGCUGGAAUUGGCAGACAGGCCUGGUUGAGGGCCAGGUGCCGCAAGGCAUGAGGGUUCAAGUCCCUCUCAGCGCA
rnacentral:tRNA from 2 species